GGUAGUCGAUUGUGGGUUGAACAUACACCACAAUCCACCAUGGACGUGCUCUACUGCCUCACUGGACUUCUGCUGGUUCUGACUGAAGAUGUAAAGGCCGAGUACUGCUACAGCUACUCUUCAGAUUACUCUUCAAGUUACUCGAGUGGUACGUACUGUUCCGCUGGCUGCUGUGGCAGUUACGAUGACCAAUACUGCUGUACAAGUGUUUCUGCAAUCGUUGGCGCCUCAGUCGGUAGCUUCUUCUUCAUUGUCAUCGUUAUUGCUGUCAUCUGUGCCUGUGUCAAGUCAGCCAACAGGCCUGGCCGUGUGGUUGGUCCGCCAGCAGUCGGCGCCACUAUGGUGGUGACAACAACAGGUAUGUCUGCUCAACAGGGACAACCUCACUACAGCGGCUAUGCGGGCCAGGUGCCCCUUCCCCCUGCAUACAACACUUACCCACCCCCAGGCCAGGGAAUGUAUCCCCCUCCUCCACAGUACAACGGACAACAGCCUGUCUAUCCCCCAAAAUAACAUUUGUUGGUGAUUUAAUACUACCAUUGACUUGAGAUUAAAUAUCAUGAUAAUGAUAAAAUGGUAAUGAAAAUCAAACGAUAAUUUUCAACGAGCUCUAUAUACGAACUAUAAUUAAAUAAUCAAUGUUCACGCGUGAAAGUGGCUUGUGGCCAUUAGUGUUUGAACAAACACCAAUCAGUCAUCGGUCUGACCAGCCCUUCUUAUACCUGUGUACCUAUGAUGCAGUCAUCGGUCUGAUCUGCCUAACUUCUUAUACCUGUGUACCUAUGAUGCAGUCAUCGGUCUGAUCUGCCCAACUUCUUAUACCUGGUACCUAUGAUGCAGUCAUCGGUCUGAUCAGCCCAACUUCUUAUACCUGGGUACCUAUGAUGCAGUCAUCGGUCUGAUCUGCCUAACUUCUUAUACCUGUGUACCUAUGAUGCAGUCAUCGGUCCGACCAGCCCAACUUCUUAUACCUGGGUACCUAUGAUGCAGUCAUCGGUCUGAUCUGCCUAACUUCUUAUACCUGGGUACCUAUAAUACGGUAAUCGGUCUGAUCAGCCCAACUUCUUAUACCUGUGUACCUAUGAUGCAGUCAUCGGUCUGAUCUGCCUAACUUCUUAUACCUGGGUACCUAUGAUGCAGUCAUCGGUCUGAUCUGCCUAACUUCUUAUACCUGUGUACCUAUGAUGCAGUCAUCGGUCUGAUCAGCCCAACUUCUUAUACCUGUGUACCUAUGAUGCAGUCAUCGGUCCGACCAGCCCAACUUCUUAUACCUGUGUACCUAUGAUGCAGUCAUCGGUCUGAUCUGCCUAACUUCUUAUACCUGUGUACCUAUGAUGCAGUCAUCGGUCUGACCAGCCCAACUUCUUAUACCUGUGUACCUAUGAUGCAGUCAUCGGUCCGACCAGCCCAACUUCUUAUACCUGUGUACCUAUGAUGCAGUCAUCGGUCUGAUCUGCCCAACUUCUUAUACCUGUGUACCUAUGAUGCAGUCAUCGGUCUGACCAGCCCAACUUCUUAUACCUGUGUACCUAUGAUGCAGUCAUCGGUCUGAUCAGCCCAACUUCUUAUACCUGGGUACCUAUGAUGCAGUCAUCGGUCUGACCAGCCCAACUUCUUAUACCUGUGUACCUAUGAUGCAGUCAUCGGUCUGAUCUGCCCAACUUCUUAUACCUGUGUACCUAUGAUGCAGUCAUCGGUCCGACCAGCCCAACUUCUUAUACCUGUGUACCUAUGAUGCAGUCAUCGGUCUGAUCUGCCUAACUUCUUAUACCUGUGUACCUAUGAUGCAGUCAUCGGUCUGACCAGCCCAACUUCUUAUACCUGUGUACCUAUGAUGCAGUCAUCGGUCUGACCAGCCCAACUUCUUAUACCUGUGUACCUAUGAUGCAGUCAUCGGUCUGAUCUGCCUAACUUCUUAUACCUGUGUAUACCUGUGUACCUAUGAUGCAGUCAUCGGUCUGAUCAGCCCAACUUCUUAUACCUGGGUACCUAUGAUGCAGUCAUCGGUCUGACCAGCCCAACUUCUUAUACCUGGGUACCUAUGAUGCAGUCAUCGGUCUGAUCUGCCUAACUUCUUAUACCUGGGUACCUAUGAUGCAGUCAUCGGUCCGACCAGCCCAACUUCUUAUACCUGUGUACCUAUGA